AAGGGUAUCAUCAGCAGUACUGAUAUGAUUUAUAACAAUUAAACCUUUCUCCAAAUUUAAAAUGCACAUGCAUUGGAUAAGGGACCGUUCAAUAUUUAUCAGAAGGAUGGGACGCUGGUGCAUUCUUUAUUUAAUAUUGUUGCAUUAAAAAACUUGAUGCCAUACAUCCUUUUAAAUUCUGCAAAAGGGUGCUUGUUCCUCUAAAACAUAGACAACAAAUAAUCAUGAUAAUGAUAUAGGUUAUUUUUCUAUUUUUUUAUUGCCUGC
rnacentral:lncRNA from 1 species